GACGAACGCUGGCGGCGUGCUUAACACAUGCAAGUCGAACGGAAAGGCCCUGCUUGCAGGGUACUCGAGUGGCGAACGGGUGAGUAACACGUGGGUGAUCUGCCCUGCACUUCGGGAUAAGCCUGGGAAACUGGGUCUAAUACCGGAUAUGACCUUCCAUGUAGUGUGGGGGGUGGAAAGAUUUAUCGGUGUGGGAUGAGCCCGCGGCCUAUCAGCUUGUUGGUGGGGUAAUGGCCUACCCAGGCGUCGACGGGUAGCCGGCCUGAGAGGGUGGACGGCCACAUUGGGACUGAGAUACGGCCCAGACUCCUACGGGAGGCAGCAGUGGGGAAUAUUGCACAAUGGGCGGAAGCCUGAUGCAGCGACGCCGCGUGGGGGAUGACGGCCUUCGGGUUGUAAACCUCUUUCGACAGGGACGAAGCUUCGGUGACGGUACCUGUAUAAGAAGCACCGGCUAACUACGUG
rnacentral:rRNA from 1 species